rnacentral:rRNA from 1 species
UYMAGAUUAGCCMUGCAUGUCUAAGUAUAAGCAACUUGUACUGUGAAACUGCGAAUGGCUCAUUAAAUCAGUUAUCGUUUAUUUGAUAGUACCUUACUACAUGGAUACCUGUGGUAAUUCUAGAGCUAAUACAUGCUAAAAACCCCGACUUCAGGAAGGGGUGUAUUUAUUAGAUAAAAAACCAACGCCCUUCGGGGCUCCUUGGUGAAUCAUAAUAACUUAACGAAUCGCAUGGCCUUGCGCCGGCGAUGGUUCAUUCAAAUUUCUGCCCUAUCAACUUUCGAUGGUAGGAUAGUGGCCUACCAUGGUGGCAACGGGUAACGGGGAAUUAGGGUUCGAUUCCGGAGAGGGAGCCUGAGAAACGGCUACCACAUCCAAGGAAGGCAGCAGGCGCGCAAAUUACCCAAUCCCGAUACGGGGAGGUAGUGACAAUAAAUACUGAUACGGGGCUCUUUUGGGUCUCGUAAUUGGAAUGAGAACAAUUUAAAUCCCUUAACGAGGAACAAUUGGAGGGCAAGUCUGGUGCCAGCAGCCGCGGUAAUUCCAGCUCCAAUAGCGUAUAUUAAAGUUGUUGCAGUUAAAAAGCUCGUAGUUGAACCUUGGGCCUGGCUGGCCGGUCCGCCUCACCGCGAGUACUGGUCCGGCUGGGCCUUUCCUUCUGGGGAACCUCAUGGCCUUCACUGGCUGUGGGGGGAACCAGGACUUUUACUGUGAAAAAAUUAGAGUGUUCAAAGCAGGCCUUUGCUCGAAUACAUUAGCAUGGAAUAAAUAGAAUARGACGUGUGGUUCUAUUUUGUUGGUUUCUAGGACCGCCGUAAUGAUUAAAUAGGGAUAGUCSGGGGGCGUCAGUAUUCAGCUGUCAGAGGUGAAAUUCUUGGRAUUUGCUGAAGACWAACUACUGCRCAAGCAUUCSSCCAGGVUGUUUUCDUUAAUCGRGAACSAAAGUWRGGGAUCSAAAAMRAAUARAUACCCGYCSUAWUCUUAACCGUAAACUDUGCCVACUARGRAUYSGAACGGAWUYCAUMAABGRCCCCGUUCRSMMCCHUAMCAGNAVSBCAAGUUUC